UACGAAGGACCCGAGCGUUAUCCGGAUUUAUUGGGUUUAAAGGGUGCGUAGGCGGAUUUACAAGUCAGUGGUGAAAUCUCCCAGCUUAACUGGGAAACUGCCAUUGAAACUGUUUAUCUUGAGUACAUUUUGAGGCGGGCGGAAUGUGUCAUGUAGAGGUGAAAUUCUUAGAUAUGACACAGAACACCAAUUGCGAAGGCAGCUCGCUAAAACUGUAAACUGACGCUGAGGCACGAAAAGCGUGGGGGAUCAAACAGG
rnacentral:rRNA from 1 species